UGGGAAUCAAUCGAGUCAAUGGAAGUAUUUCGUAUAAUGCCUCAAGAACCACAUUUCCGGGUACUGGAGCAGCAGUACUGUAGGGAGUUCCGCGAAGGGAUAGCUAUAGGUUUGAUGGUGACCUUCGCCAACCUGGAGGCCGAUACAAGGAAGUUUGACACAUGUGAUUCACCAGAGGCUUUCGACGAAAGAUUGAAAGCUCUUAAACAGUUGGAGGAAAAUGGAUUUG
rnacentral:misc_RNA from 1 species